rnacentral:lncRNA from 1 species
UUCCCUUCGUUCAUAACGUUUAAGUUUGUCAGAUUAUGGACUUCCCCUUUCUGAAUGUACCGUGGAGUUUGGUAUUUAUGUUAUACUUUUUCUGCCUUUUGAUAUAUCUAUAUCAAUGUACUACAAUAACUAUAAUUAUUACUGUAAAUACAGAUAAAUGUUGAUAUAACUGUCGAAGUCACAACUCCUGUCACCGUUUCUUGUUUGUGACGACUUCAUCAAAUUAGACUUAUCUCUGAUUUUUAAUGGAAUAAUUGAUUUG